rnacentral:rRNA from 1 species
UGGGGAAUAUUGGACAAUGGGGGCAACCCUGAUCCAGCCAUGCCGCGUGUGUGAAGAAGGCCCUCGGGUUGUAAAGCACUUUAAGCGGGGAGGAAGGCCUGAUGGUUAAUACCCAUUGGGAUUGACGUUACCCGCAGAAUAAGCACCGGCAAACUUCGUGCCAGCAGCCGCGGUAAUACGAAGGGUGCGAGCGUUAAUCGGAAUUACUGGGCGUAAAGCGCGCGUAGGUGGUUGAGUAAGCGAUCUGUGAAAGCCCCGGGCUUAACCUGGGAACUGCAGGUCGAACUGCUUGGCUAGAGUAUGGUAGAGGGGUGUGGAAUUUCCUGUGUAGCGGUGAAAUGCGUAGAUAUAGGAAGGAACAUCAGUGGCGAAGGCGACACCCUGGACCGAUACUGACACUGAGGCGCGAAAGCGUGGGUAGCGAACA